rnacentral:rRNA from 1 species
GAUGAACGCUGGCGGCGUGCCUAAUACAUGCAAGUCGAGCGAACAGAUGAGGCGCUUGCUCCUCUGACGUUAGCGGAGGACGGGUGAGUAACACGUGGAUAACCUACCUAUAAGACUGGGAUAACUUCGGGACACCGGAGCUAAUACCGGAUAAUCUAUUGAACCGUAUGGUUCAAUAGUGAAAGACGGCUUUGCUGUCACUUAUAGAUGGAUCCGAGCUGCAUUAGCUAGUUGGUAAGGUCACGGCUUACCAAGGCAACGAUGCGUAGCCGACCUGAGGGGGUGGUCGGCCACACGGGAACUGGGACACGGUCCAGACUCCUGCGGGAGGCAGCAGUAGGGAAUCGGCCGCAAUGGGCGAAAACCUGGCGGAGCAGCGCCGCGUGAGUGGUGAAGGUCUUCGGAUCGUAAAACUCUGUUAUUAGUGAAGAACAAAUGUGUAAGUAGCUAUGCACGGCUUGACGGUACCUAAUCAGAAAGCCACGGCUAACUACGUG